rnacentral:sRNA from 1 species
AAUCGUCUUGAAUAGAAUUCGUCAAGCAAGCCAUAACUUCGGUCAUAUAAGCAGUUUCCUUAACAUAGCCAACGAGAAUGCAUUUGCUAAACAUUUUUAUUUCCAUUGGUCUAAUUGUGGCAGUAGUUUUAAGUAAUGUCGAAGCCGCCAUACCACUAUAUGUGAGGACGACUAGGCGAACAACUUUACCCACAAGACGCCGAUCUCCUAGCCCAACUCGACUUCCAACCAAACGUCCACGCUACGGGCCAAAAUAAGGCAGGCGCAGGUUUGUCCACGAUAUAGGAAAUCUUAGUUAAACUAUAGAAGAAAAUUGGAAUCCAUAUCAAUAAAAAAUAAAUUGUAAAAAAUUA